AAAUGAUCUAUUGUUUCCACAGAGUUUUCACAAAAGGAACAUAAGUUGUUUUCAAUUUUAAAUCGUUUUUUCAAUUAAUCUUUGGAUGGGUAAAUGGAGUUCAUGAUUUUAAAGUGUGUUUCUUUAACUUUGGGUUGGAUUGGAAGUUUUAAGUAUGGCGUUCUUAAUUUAAUUACAGAUGAUUUAAUAAAUUUAUGAGCUAUGUCAUUCUUGUUAACUUUACCUGGGAAAAAAUGUUCAGUGAGAAUUUGUCUAAUAAAGUGGUUGGUAAAUUUUUUGUCAAUACUUGAAAUCCCAUUAAUACAUAAACUGCCUAAUCGUGGAUUUAUAGGGUGGUAUGUUAUUACAUUACGUGUUUGGUUAAUAAAUUCUUUAGGUAAUGCUUUGUGUAGUUUAAUGAAUUCAGAUAAAGGAGGUUUAAAAUUGUUCAUAUGUGUACAUGUUUCCCUGUGAAUCCAUUAAGUGGACAAUCGACCAGAUAUCAUUUUCAAACCAUUCUUUAUAGAACAGAGAUUUGUUUCGAUGUAAAAUGAAUCUAUUGUUCCAUAUUAUGUUUAGAUGAGGUGAGUAGUUCUGGACAUAUAGUAACUGCCAAUAAAGUAAAACCUGUUCAUGGAACUCCGAUAGUUUGAUGGGUAAUUUAAGAAUAUUAUAAUUUGAAAGAAGAAUUAGUUUUAAUCCACCUAACUUGUUAAAAAUAUAAUUCGGAACACAGUACCAAAACAAAUGGGAGUUUUUAAUCCAAGAUUUCAACCAAUUAAUCUUUAAGGUUCCAUUAAGACAAUCAAAAUCUAUAGCUUUCAGCCCGCCAUCUUUAACUUCUUUAACCAUAUGACCUUUUUUGAGAUAAUGUGGCUUGUUUUUCCAAAUAAAAUUGAAGUUUAAAGUGUUUAUAGUUUUGAUCAAGCUUUUUGGGAUUGCUGUGCAACAAGCUGGAUAGAUUAACCUAGAUAAACAUUCCAUCUUGGAUAAAUAUAUUAUAUAGAAAGAUCCCUCUGAAGCCAUAAGUUUAGUUUAGUUUUACAUUCAUUAAGCUUACUGUCAGCACCCAUUAUUACACAUCAGCAUUCUGGUUUUUCACCUGCAAGAAGAGACAUUUCUAAAUUACAUUGUACAAAUGUAAUUUGUUUUUAAAGCACAAAUAUGAAAGGAAAAUAGAUUAAAUAAAUAUAAAGUAAGAGAUUUUUUAAUUUGAAAAAAAAAAGACUUUUUCUCUGUUUUAAAGUGUUUACAUCAUUAGCAAUGUGUUCACAUGAAUAUCAUCACAUUUUUUUAUGCAUUUUAUUUGCAAAUUGCCCCCUCUUCUGCUGGAAUUCUUUACUGUAAUUAUGUGACUCGGCACAGACAGUAAAAAAAAAAAUAAAAAA